rnacentral:tRNA from 1 species
AGAAAUGUAGCUCAGAUGGUAGAGCACUCAAUUAGCAUGCGAGAGGUACUGGGAACGAUACCCAGCAUCUUCA